AGAGUUUGAUCCUGGCUCAGAAUCAACGCUGGCGGCGUGCCUAACACAUGCAAGUCGAACGAGAAAGGGUAGCAAUACCUGAGUACAGUGGCGCACGGGUGAGUAACACGUGACUAACCUACCCUGGAGUGGGGAAUAACUGAGGGAAACCUUAGCUAAUACCGCAUAAUACCUACGGGUCAAAGGAGCAAUUCGCUUCAGGAGGGGGUCGCGGCCGAUUAGUUAGUUGGCGGGGUAAUGGCCCACCAAGACAGUGAUCGGUAUCCGGCCUGAGAGGGCGCACGGACACACUGGAACUGAAACACGGUCCAGACUCCUACGGGAGGCAGCAGUGGGGAAUUUUGCGCAAUGGGGGAAACCCUGACGCAGCAACGCCGCGUGGAGGAUGAAAUCCCUUGGGAUGUAAACUCCUUUCGAUCGGGACGAUUAUGACGGUACCGGAAGAAGAAGCCCCGGCUAACUUCGUGCCAGCAGCCGCGGUAAUACGAGGGGGGCAAGCGUUGUUCGGAAUUAUUGGGCGUAAAGGGUGUGUAGGCGGUUUGGUAAGUCGUGUGUGAAAUCUUCGGGCUCAACCCGAAGUCUGCACACGAAACUGCCGGGCUUGAGUAUGGGAGAGGUGAGUGGAAUUCCUGGUGUAGCGGUGAAAUGCGUAGAUAUCAGGAGGAACACCUGUGGCGAAAGCGGCUCACUGGACCAUUACUGACGCUGAAACACGAAAGCUAGGGGAGCAAACAGGAUUAGAUACCCUAGUAGUCC
rnacentral:rRNA from 1 species